rnacentral:lncRNA from 1 species
GGGACUGGAUUAGCUGGCGGGUCGAGGGCCUGAAGCUGUUUUUUUUAGUUCUGGACCCUGCAGUGUUUUGCCUGCGCAGCUUGAGUUAAUCUCCCACCCUCUGAGACACCUCCCAACAAGACCCCUGAGCAUGCGGCUGAAUACUGCGGAUUGUUGCGUGUCAGGACAAGGGGUUGUUUUCAAAGUGGAGCACGUCAGUUCUCUGAAGUGUCUCACUGAUGGAAGCGAGAGGAUGAUGUUGUCUGGAAAGGAAUGAAUGAGACUGAUCUUCUGCCAGGGAAUUUCUUCUGCGGAUACAUCCAGAAGAGCUUUUUGGCCAGCCUGUAACUUUUCCUAAAGCACGUCAAACAUCACAUACCUGAUAAUCAUUUUGUGAAGCCUCUUCAAUAUAGAAGCGUUCAUGAGAUCAUCGGUCAGGAUUACAAGAUAAUGAUUAUUAUAAAUGUGCAUUUUUUUGUAUAUUAUUAACGCUCUAUCUAUCUGACAGUAGUAUACUUGCAGUAUCAGCAUGUACAUUAAUGUUUGAAGGAGAUGUCAGCUUCCAGCCAAGUCUUUAUGUCUUGAGCCAAUCGCUAUUGUCAUGAGCGCCAAUGCCAACAGUAGAAAAGCCUAUUAGUGUUUCCCUAAAGCAACCACAGAAUGCACACUGGACGGCUCUGAUGGAUGGCAUGUCAUAAUGGAAUGAGGACUGAAUGAAGGCUUAUUUAUGUACAAAGCCUGCAGACUCAAUGAAAUGCAUUCCAAGGACAGAAAACAUCUCAUUUCAAUUACGAAUCUCGGUUAAGUGAAGAAUUCCCACUGUGUAAAUCAGUGCUGCGCUCAUGUUAAUCACUUGACCCGCUCUGCUGUGGGGAAAUGCACUAAAAAUGUGUAUUAUUUGACAAUAAAAGAUAAUGGCGUGUUUCACUUGAAGUAA